GAUUGAAAAUAAAAUUAGUAUUUGAACCCAGAUAGAAACGGGAAUUUUUUUUUAUCAAGGCGUUUACCAUAUCGCAAGAAACAAUAUCAGGAUAUGGUGUUUUAGUUGUCAGUAAUUGCUAUAGUCAAAUGAGAAGCCUUCUCUUCACUAGGUUCAAUUUCAGAUGAAACAUGUCCACGGGUCUGCGUAUCAGUCCUCUCCGCUUGCCUUAGCCGAUGACUUUUUUUACAAACAAAAGCUAACGUAAAACACUAUAUUGCGAUUCAACUAUCUUGUUUACAUAAACUAAAUUAUCCUAAAUGAAAGACCGGGCAUGCUGCUUCGAAAAUGACUGGACGUUAUCCCCAUAUCCUCAGCCUUGUUACAUUUGGACACUUCCG
rnacentral:lncRNA from 1 species